AGACUUUAUUAAAUGAGCAUUAUACCUCAAAACAAGUUUUAAAAUAAAAAAAACAAACGAGCAGAAAACAUGUCUGUAACUUAACUGGCUCUGUGACCUUGGCAAUUUUGUAAAACCCUCUGAGCCUAGCUUUCUCACAUGUAAAGUGAUGAUAAUGGGUAAUUCCCAUGGCCGUUGUGAGAUUAAAUUAAAAGGGUUAAAUUUUAUUUAUAAAGCACCUAGCAUAUAUUAGACACUCAAUAUUGGGUCACAUCUCUGCAAAUCUGAUGGGAAAUGUCUUCCCUAAGGGAAGAUUUUCUGUUUCUGGAAUUUCACUCCCUAGAACUUUCCAUGCUUGAGUCAUGCAUUAGCUUUUGACAAGUUAUUUUAUUUAACUCUCCCUCUUGGCAAUCGCUACCUGUGAUGACACACAAAGCGGGAAACUACAUCCCAGCAGCUACAAAUAAUAGCAAGCAAUCUUUUGAACUAUUUGCCUUGAGGAAAGGCUAAAAAGUUAUUGAGUCGUGAGUGCAGUUUGCCACGUCACGAUGUAUUUCCCACUGUUUUCUUAGGCUAUUUUCUUUGCCUCCUUUAAGAUAUUUUCUGGAAACUUUUGCUGAACGGUAGCCAAUUGUGAGCGAAAGCUUCUGUAACCAUUCUCUUGCUGAAAGUAACUCGGAGAUCUCAUUUUGCCACAUGGAAGACAGCAGACUCUCUACUUCUCUUCCCUUAGGUCACAAUGGCCUAUAGGAUAUUGCUUUUAGAAGCAAUGCUAUAAGGAACCCUUUUUCUUGCACCAGUAGGAGGAAGAAAAAUGGAACUAAAAAGGGAAAACAAUAGCAACAAAGAUCAAAAUAAAUAACAAGGAAGCGGAGAGAAGAAAGAACAUGGUGAAGAGAGUGAAACGCAUUGUCAUUUGGGGUGAAUUGCAGAAAGAAAUAAAUUAUUGUUCUUAUAUAUAAG
rnacentral:lncRNA from 1 species